AGUGAACGCUGGCGGUGGGCCUAACACAUGCAAGUCGAGCGACAGCACAGUAAGAGCUUGCUCUUACGGGUGGCGAGUGGCGGACGGGUGAGGCAUACAUCGGCAUCUAAUUUUUCGUGGGGGAUAACGUAGGGCAGCAUACGAUAACACCGCAUACGACCUACGGCUGGGAGCAGGAGAGCUUCGGACCUUGGGCGACUGAUUGAGACGAUGCCGGGUUGCAUUAGCGGGUUGGUAAGGUAACGGCAAGCCAAGGCAACGAUGCGUGGCCGACCUGAGAGGGUGAUCGGCCACACUGGAACUGAGACACGGUCCAGACUCCUACGGGAGGCAGCAGUGGGGAAUCUUGCGCAAAGGGCGCAAGCCUGAUCCAGCCACGCCGCGUGGGUGAAGAAGGUCUUCGGGUUGUAAAACCCUUUUAUUGGGGAAGAAAAACAGCAUGUGUAACUCCCCCCGUUUUGACGGUACCCAAACAAAAAGCCACGGCUAACUUCGUG
rnacentral:rRNA from 1 species